UGAGGAAUAUUGGUCAAUGGGCGAGAGCCUGAACCAGCCAAGUCGCGUGAAGGAUGAAGGUUCUAUGGAUUGUAAACUUCUUUUAUUCGAGGGUAAAGUGAGGUAUGUAUACCUUAUUGCAAGUAUCGAAUGAAUAAGCAUCGGCUAACUCCGUGCCAGCAGCCGCGGUAAUACGUAGGUGGCAAGCGUUGUCCGGAAUUACUGGGUGUAAAGGGAGCGCAGGCGGGAAAUCAAGUUGGAUGUGAAAUGUCGGGGCUUAACCCCGGAACUGCAUCCAAAACUGAUAUUCUUGAGUGAAGUAGAGGUAGGCGGAAUUCCGAGUGUAGCGGUGAAAUGCGUAGAUAUUCGGAGGAACACCAGUG
rnacentral:rRNA from 1 species